rnacentral:rRNA from 1 species
AGAAUCAACGCUGGCGGCGUGCCUAACACAUGCAAGUCGAACGAGAAAGUGGAGCAAUCCAUGAGUAAAGUGGCGCACGGGUGAGUAACACGUGACUAACCUACCCUUGAGUGGGGGAUAACCUAGGGAAACCUGGGCUAAUACCGCAUAAUACCUUCGGGUCAAAGGAGCAAUUCGCUUAAGGAGGGGGUCGCGGCCGAUUAGUUAGUUGGCGGGGCAAUGGCCCACCAAGACUGUGAUCGGUA